AACGUAGGAGACAAACGUUAUCCGGAGUUACUGGGCGUAAAGGGCGUGUAGGCGGUUUGUUAAGUCUGGCGUGAAAGCUCUCGGCUAAACCGGGAGAGGUCGUUGGAUACUGGCAAACUAGAGGACGGUAGAGGCGUGUGGAAUUCCGGGUGUAGUGGUGAAAUGCGUAGAGAUCCGGAGGAACACCAGUGGCGAAGGCGACACGCUGGGCCGUACCUGACGCUAAAGCGCGACAGCAUGGGGAGCGAACAGG
rnacentral:rRNA from 1 species